UAAAGGUUGCCUGUUAACAGAGCCAAGGAGUAGACCAGAAAAGUUGUAGUGAUAAUCUAGUUCAAGUGACAGAGCUGAGGGUUGGUGCGAGGGUCCUGGUAGGAAGACAGCUAAAGGCUCCACCUCCAUACUUAAGUGCCUUUCUUUCACACCACUGUCUGGCUGGAUAAGCUGAAGGGCCAAGGUGAGGAUCAUGCAAAGAUCUCGGGAAUGCAAAACUGAAGGCAGCUGCUGUAUGAUAUUAUGGACUUGUGUGCUAGGUGCCUUACAUGCCUGUGUAAUGUACAGGAGAGGCUGCCUUGUCACCCUACCCACCACCCCCGCCCCAGGCUGUGCACCUCUGCUUUUGCAGUGCACACCCGACUUCUCACUUCUGUAUUCUCCAAUGACCUCUUUUUACCCCUGUAGCCACAGCAGCUAGCAUAGCAACUGCCAUCGUUUCUGAGACAAUAGACUGGAACUGUGCUACAGGCCUGGGAAGGUACUUGGUAGAGCAUGUUUUGCUGCUGGGGAGAGUCAGGUAGACUCUGCCCUAAGGUCAGGUACUACGAAUUAGGACUUAAACUUUUUGGCCUCCUGUGUUAGGAGCUUUCCUGUUUGAUGUUGGAGAUUCAUUGGCCUUUUACAUCUGCUGCCUCACAGCUCGAGACAGUGCCUUUCACACCAGUUCCCCGGCUGCCUUACGCUGCUCGCUGAGCUAGCCAGGUCUUUUCUGGGAAAACUGCCUGGAACUUCCACUCUCAUGUUUGUUCAAAUCAAUAAAACCAAUAAAAAAUGUAUAGUUAAAUAUAAUAUGAA
rnacentral:lncRNA from 1 species